rnacentral:rRNA from 1 species
CCUGGCGGCACUAGCGCGGUGGUCCCACCUGACCCCAUGCCGAACUCAGAAGUGAAACCCCGUAGCGCCGAUGGU